rnacentral:rRNA from 1 species
AGAACGAACGCUGGCGGCAUGCCUAACACAUGCAAGUCGAACGCUCACCGGGCUUCGGUUCGGUGGGAGUGGCGCACGGGUGAGUAGCGCGUGGGAACCUGCCCUGUUGGUGGGGAUAACCGAGGGAAACUUCGGCUAAUACCGCAUGCGGCCCGGGGAAACCCGGGGAAAGAUUUAUCGCAGCAGGAGGGGCCCGCGUCGGAUUAGGUAGUUGGUAGGGUAACGGCCUACCAAGCCUUUGAUCCGUAGCUGGUCUGAGAGGAUGAUCAGCCACACUGGGACUGAGACACGGCCCAGACUCCUACGGGAGGCAGCAGUGGGAAUAUUGGACAAUGGGCGCAAGCCUGAUCCAGCAAUGCCGCGUGAGUGAUGAAGGCCUUAGGGUUGUAAAGCUCUUUCGCCGCGACGAUGAUGACGGUAGCGGGAGAAGAAGCCCCGGCUAACUUCGUGCCAGCAGCCGC